GCCGGAUUAGCUCAGUUGGCAGAGCAGUUCAUUCGUAAUGAAAAGGUCACCAGUUCGAAUCCGGUAUCCGGCACCA
rnacentral:tRNA from 11 species